GAUGAACGCUGGCGGCGUGCCUAAUACAUGCAAGUCGAGCGAACAGACGAGGAGCUUGCUCCUCUGACGUUAGCGGCGGACGGGUGAGUAACACGUGGAUAACCUACCUAUAAGACUGGGAUAACUUCGGGAAACCGGAGCUAAUACCGGAUAAUAUAUUGAACCGCAUGGUUCAAUAGUGAAAGACGGUUUUGCUGUCACUUAUAGAUGGAUCCGCGCCGCAUUAGCUAGUUGGUAAGGUAACGGCUUACCAAGGCAACGAUGCGUAGCCGACCUGAGAGGGGGAGUGGGCCAACUGGGAAUGAGAAACGGGCCAGAACCCUACGGGAGGGAGGAGGGGGGAAAUUUGCACAAAGGGGGAAAGCCUGAACGAGGCAAGGCGGGGGGAGGAAGAAGGGUUUCGGGUUGGAAAAACCUUUUUUAUGGGAAAAAAAAAAUGUUAAAAAAAAAAAGAGGUUAUGACGGGACCCUAAGAAGAAGCCCCGGGUAAAUACGGG
rnacentral:rRNA from 1 species